UAGGCUCAAAAUUUAAUCCAGAUAAUUCGGACCAUAGUUUAAAAUCCAAAGAAAAUGGCGGUAUUUCAUAUAAUCAGGGGAACCUGCUUCUUAAUUCGAUACUCCACGAAAUCCAAACCUAAUUUUGCAAUUCCCAGCCUGUGUACUGCUGUCGUCAGUCAACCUCUAAAAGAUAAUUGACAUAAAAUAUAUUAUCAAUAUUAAAGUCAAGUCAAAGUGCAGCUAAUAAUUAGGAGAAGGUGGGUUACAAUCUCAAUAAAGAUACAAAUAAUCUUUUAUAAUAAAAUUUUAAAGGGGGACUUGAUAGUAAUGAUCACAAAACAUUAUUAUUAAUAUUAUUCUGAAAUACGUACAAUAUCCCCCGCCCCCCCCUUCAUAGGUUA
rnacentral:rRNA from 1 species